UUCACCUUGGAACUGCGUAAGACUCUGGACGG
rnacentral:sRNA from 1 species